rnacentral:rRNA from 1 species
CUAAAAAUCUAGCUUAUUAUACACAGUUCCUUAUAUCCCCGAACAAAAUAUUUUUACAAUCUAGUAAAGAAGAUUAAAAACCUCCUAUAAGCCAUAAAUAAGUACCGCAAGGGAAAGAUGAAAUAAAAAUGAAAUAAAUUUUAAGCACAAAAAAGUAGAGACUUCCCCUUGUACCUUUUGCAUCAUGAUUUAGCUAGUUUAAUUAGGCAAAAGGACCUUUAAGUCUAACUUCCCGAAACUAAGUGAGCUAAUUUGGGGCCGCUUAAUGAGCUAACCCGUCUCUGUUGCAAAAUAGUGGGAUGACCCCAAAAUAGAGGUGACACGCCUACCGAACUUAGUAAUAGCUGGUUUCUCAAGAAAAGAAUAUUAGUUCCGCCUAAAGCAGUAAGAAUAUAAGUAUAUUAAUCUCGCCCUUUAGAGUAACUCAAAUAAGGUUCAGCCUAUUUGACACAGGAUCCAACCUUCACUUCCGGGUAAUACAACAACAUUUACACCCAAGUAGGCCUAAUAGCAGCCACCUUUCAAAAAGCGUCAAAGCUUACCCGUAUUAAAUCUAAUUCAUCUAUUUUCAUAAACCCCUAUAAUUGUACUGAGAAAUUCUAUAAUUCUAUAGAAGAUAUUAUGCUAAAACUAGUAACAAGAGAAUCAACCUCUCUCUAUGCAAGUAUAAGCCAAGAAGAACCCAUCAUUGGCAAUUAACAGAAAAAGUAAUAACACCCCAAGAAAACCUUACUUCAACAACUGUUAACCUGACACCAGAGCAUUUCAAGAAAGAUUAAAAGAAAAAGAAGGAACUCGGCAAAUAAAAAUUCCGCCUGUUUACCAAAAACAUCGCCUCUUGACCCCAUAAGAGGUCCAGCCUGCCCAGUGACCUAGUUCAACGGCCGCGGUAUCCUAACCGUGCGAAGGUAGCGUAAUCACUUGUCUUCUAAAUAAAGACUAGUAUGAAAGGCACCACGAGAACUUAACUGUCUCCCCUUUCUAAUCAGUGAAACUAAUCCCCCCGUGAAGAAGCGGGGAUCCUCAAAUUAGACGAGAAGACCCUAUGGAGCUUUAAACACUAACCACUUGCCCGCACAUUAAUUACCCCGGUUUCUAAAUCAACGCAAUAUGAUUACGUGUUUUUGGUUGGGGUGACCGCGGAAAAUAACUAAACCUCCACAAUGACGACAUCCAAACUAUAAGCUACAGCUUUAAGUAUCAACAAAUUGACAUUUCUUGACCCAAUAUAUUGAUUAAUGAACCAAGUUACCCUAGGGAUAACAGCGCAAUCCACUUCAAGAGCCCCUAUCGACAAGUGGGCUUACGACCUCGAUGUUGGAUCAGGGUAUCCUAAGUGGUGCAGCCGCUACUAAUGGUUCGUUUGUUCAAC